AAUGUAUCUAUAAUUUUUAUUGUUCCAUGCUAUUAUAUUAUAUGUUUUGGAUGUUUAAUAUGCAUUUAUAUGUUAUUUUAUAUUAUUUUUGGGACUAACUAUUAACCGAGGGCCCAGUGCCAGUUUCUAUUUUUUGCCUGUUUUAGUGUUUCAUAGAAAAGAAAUACCAAACGGAGUCCAAACGGAAUGAAACUUUCGCAAUGAUCUUUCUUGGACCAGAAGCAAACUAGGAGACUUGGAGAUGAAGUUGGAGACUCAACGAGGCGGCCACAAGGGUGGAGGGCGCGCCCCUACCUCGUGGGCCCCUCGGAGCUCUCUUGACCUAGUUCCUUCGCCUAUAUAUACUCUUAUACCCCAAAAACAUCAGGGGGAGCCACGAAAACACUUUUCCACCGCCGCAACCUUCUGUGCCCGUGAGAUCCCAUCUAGGGGCCUUUUCCGGCAUACUGUCGGAGGGGGAUUUGAUCAUGGAGGGCUUCUACAUCAACACCAUUACCCUUCCGAUGAAGCAUGAGUUGUUUACCUUAGAACUACGGGUCCACUUGAGUGAGACCGAGGAGAGUGGAAUUUCGUGUGUAGGGGUGAAAUCCGUAGAUCUACGAAGGAAUGCCAAAAGCGAAGGCAGCUCUCUAGGUACCUACUGAUGCUGGGGUGCAAAAGCAUGGGGAGCGAACAGGAUUAGAUACCCUGGUAGUACAUGCCAUAAAUGAUGAGUGUUCUCCCUUGGUCUGCGCGGAUCAGGGGCCCAGCUAACGCGUGAAACACUCCGCCU
rnacentral:rRNA from 1 species